ensembl:lncRNA
UAAGAUAUGACUCUAAACGAGGAGUUGGGUUUUAAAUGCAGUAUUUGGAGGAUUCCGUCCCCUAACUUUAAGGUCACUAGUAAUACAUAUCCAGUCUUUCUAGAUAGACUGUAAAAGUCCUCUCUGGCAGGGAUGGGCUUCAGUGUGUCCCCAGCCCUGAGCAUGUGCCUGGUACACAAGGCUUCCUCUUUGAUCAUGGUUUUAUGAAUAUGCAGACACGCCAUUCCUGAUCAGACACUGCUUCACAAACUUGAAAGCUUGAGAAGAUUCCAAAGCAUCAGUCCCCAGUGAGUUUCCUAAUUUAUUUUCCCCCUUCUCACUUUCAAAAAUCUGAACUGGUAAGACAUUUCAAUGCCAAUCCUGAAACUGAGAGCUCAUGCAUUUCUCAAGUUCCGGAAUAACAUACUGAGGUACCAAUCCCAGCGGUCCUUCCUAAAGACUGAUUAGAGUUCUUUUCUUUACCUCCUACAGCUGAUUACUUGUUGUGAUACCACAGAUUGCUUAGCGGCUUGACUUAGCACCUGUGCUAAUUGCUUUAUCCUGUUAGAAUCUGAUUUUCAGUGUGUUGAAAUGUUAACUUAAGCCAGUGGUUCUCAGGCCUGACUACACGUGAGAAUCACCGAAGAUCCUUUUUAAAUGCUCAGGCUCCAUCCCCAGGGAUUGCAAUUUAACUGCACUGAAGUGGGUCCCAGGUAUCAGAAAGGUUUAAAAAACCUUCCCAGGCGAAUCUAAUGCACAGCCAAGACAAAGAAACACUGACGUGGCAAACUUAUGUGGGGAUUUUGUGUAUGCAGCAUCUGAGGCUGCCUCCCCAUACCACAGUCCAUCCAAGAAAAAACACCAAUAAAUGAAAACUCUGAUAGUGUUCGUCCGAGUCUGUCUAAAGCAGUCUCACCUAUCAAGACUCUUGAGAGUCCCUUGGACUGCAAAGAGAUCAAACCAGUCAAUCCUAACGGAAAUCAACUCUGAAUAUUCCUUGGAAGGACUGAUGCUGAAGCUCCAAUACUUUGGCCAUCUGAAGUGAAGAGUCGACUCAUUGGAAAAGACCCUGAUGCUGGGAAAGACUGAAGGUGGGAGGAGAAGGGGCCAACAAAGGUCAGAUGUUGGAUGCCAUCACCAACUCAAUGGACAUGAGUUUGAGCAAACCCCAGGAGAUACUGAAAGACAGAGAAGCCUGGCGUGCUGCAGUCCAUGGGGUCGCAAAGAGUCAGACACGACUGAGCGACUGAACACCACCACCCCCAUCAGGAAUACCAACAGCAUAAGGACAGUCUCCAAACCACCAAACCAGAUGCUAUGAAAUCCAUUCAGAAAGGACCUAAAUUAGAAGGAGCUGAGACCUGAUGGUUAGAAACAAAACAAAAAACAGGCCUCUACACCAACAAGGAAAUGUUAACCAACAAAACAACCUGAUAUAUCCAACUCUGGAGCCCAAAUGCUAUGGGCCACUGAACACCAAGAGGCAGCGGGCCGGCUGAUCAUUUGGCAAAGCGGCCUGAUCUCAUGGUUUUACCCCUAAGGAAGCCAGCAUGUGGCUACUGACCCACCCACCACAGGAAUCCAGGGGCUAAAUGCCUAAGCCAACGGCCCAGGUUCUCAAGAGGCCAGGCAGGGUGAGGGACCACAAUAAUUCCUCAGCAGCAACCACUACCAUGUUGUAAAAUAACAUAGCUUUGUGUUCCCCAAUAAAAUCAUUAAAUCGCAUUCUUUGAAAGUUUUGUUUAGUCCUUUUAUAAAAAUAUGAGGCGCGCCUGAUUUUCAUACCCACAAGCUCAGAUCUGCAAAUAUUAGAGAUUUUUUUUAAUGUCAUUUAUUCGUACCAUGAAAUUUUUUUCCACAAUUUCUUUUUUUUUUUUUUUUUCCCUUUAGUCAUAGUUGCAGUUCAUGGA